GGCGGGCGGGCGAGCGCUGGGGUCCGGGCUCCGGGCUGGCCCCACCGCCGCGUGCCCAGAGUGCGGGGAUCGCUCAGCAGCUGCAGUGACUGUGUGUCUGUGUCAUGUCUGUGCAGCUGGGGGGGGGACCGCGAACCCGGGCCGGGCUCCGAGCGGGGGCGGGGCCAGCGCCCGCCUGGGCGCCCACCCCCACCCCGUGAUGGCGCGGCCGGCCAAUGGCAGGCGCCGCAGCCCCGAGAACCGAGAGGCCGCCCCCGCCUAGGCUCCGCCCACCAGCUAGGCUCCUCCCUCCUGCUUCUUCAGCUAGCUCGCACGCAGGCGGAAGCAACACCCGGAUCCGGGAUCCGGCCCGGGUUAGGAUGAAAGGGUGCAAGCCGGGAGCUCCCCGCCCUUCUUCCCCAGCCCGGCCUCUCCCCGCCGCUUCGGGCUUGGCGAGCCUCGCGGAAAGAGGGGGAAGGGGAGCGGGGCGGCUCCGCAGCUGCCGCCGUAGAGAUGCUUGCAGGCUCGCAGGGCCUUGCUGCCUGAACACUCCCCCUUGUACAAAGCCACCGUCGUAGGAAGUGGGAAGUUUCUACUGCUUCCACCUUCUACUCGGGUCGCCGCUUCUCUGGAAGCCCCUCCUGCACCUCUGGAAUGCCUCCGCGAUGUAUCCUGUCGCCCUUUUCAGGCACAGCUCUGUCUCUGGUGGGAAGGACCACAAAAUGCUUAUAAAGGAUUUGGAUGGAAACUGGUGACAACUGGAAAUGUUACCAAAAAAAAGCGCCAUUUCAUACAAUGGAAACUACUACUGUUGGCAGACCUGCCUAUUUCUCCAGCCGCUUUGCAUCUUAGAGAACACGGGACUUGAAGCUGUUAAUAAGAGGGCCUCCUGUUACACAAUCCAGGGGUCAAAACUCACACACACACAAUACAACGGACACUUGGAGCAAGACCAUCAGUUAAGGAGGAAAAGUGUUCCCCUGGGCAUGACAUCAGUAUGACAGUGGCAAAUAAAAAAGAAGAAGGCGAAUGACGUCACGGAGAUCUAAAUUUAUCACCAGGAGGAAGGGAGUCUAAUGAUUCCAUGACGGUCUCAGGCUCCAUGAUUAUAAAAGAGA